AGUUCUCAUAUCUGGGGAAGGUAAGAACCUUCGACAAGGUUCGCGCCGAGCGUAGCGAGACAACGACGCAAAGCGGCGGCCCG
rnacentral:sRNA from 1 species